ensembl:lncRNA
CUGCGUUGGUGAGUGUGGUGCGACACCCCAUAAGCGCCACACACGUACACGUACCGGUGGGACGGGUUUGUACGAGGCUGGGAGGAAAUCAUCACAGUAUACCCACUACAAUAGAGUAGACUACACCUCUGAUUAUAGGCCUGCCGCCUACAGUAGAUGCAAGCUACACUAGGUUCUGUUCAGUCAAUAUUGAAGAGGAUGAAUUCGGUUAACAAUCAUCAACCAGCCGGAUCGACCGGCAGAAAGGGGCGACGGGGCAAGUCACCAUGCUCGGGUCACGUGAUGAAAGCGAGGCUCAUCGAUUGGCUGCAGGGGAAUUCCAGAGGAAGUCUAUGUGUACCGGUUCAGCUAUCUCACUCCCCCACCCAUCCUCAUCAGCCUCCCACUCAUUCAAGAGAAUCCGGCGGCGGUGGUGGCGAGCUGACCAGAGGACAGCUGGCUACACUGUGACUCCACGACAUGUGUGAGGCAGGGCCUUGUGGUGCAACACCUGCUAUUGUAGCGCCUCUGGAGAUGAAAAGGUAUAAACCCACCGCUGGCUGAGGCUGCUCCUGAUGUCCCCACAAGCUGAUCAACGAGUCGGGGCUUGAGAUAGGGAGGAGGAAGACGCUCUCUGCGAGCCAGAGAGAGCAUUGUAAAACCAGGAGACGGACGGAUUGAACAGUGAACCGUU